UACGUAGGUGGCGAGCGUUGUCCGGAUUUACUGGGCGUAAAGCGCGCGCAGGCGGCUGUUCAAGUCCGAUGUGAAAUCUUCCGGCUUAACUGGAAAACGGCAUUGGAUACUGGACGGCUGGAAGGUGGGAGAGGGUAGCGGAAUUCCCGGUGUAGUGGUGAAAUGCGUAGAUAUCGGGAGGAACACCAGUGGCGAAAGCGGCUACCUGGCCCACUCUUGACGCUGAGGCGCGAAAGCUAGGGGAGCAAACAGG
rnacentral:rRNA from 1 species